CUGCCCUGGACAGAAGUCUUUAAAUGCUGGCUUUCAUUCCUAAGUAACCUAAUUUCCGAGGAGCCUGGGGAACAUGAGAAUGACCUGAGAAUGAAUCCAGCAAUUCCAAGUGCAGACCUGCCAGGUGGUAACCUGCAGCAUAGCUGGCAGGACUUGAAGGGGAGGUCGCCUUCCUCAUCCUCCUGCACACUCCCUAGGAAGGGUCUGCAGUUAAUGCCGGGACCACCAACCACAGAACCACAUCCUACUGGAGAAAGAGUCUGCGAGGGCAGCGUGUGUCAUGUGCCUGGCUGGCUCUAAAGCACGGGACCAACAGGACAGGGGAGGAGGCAGGAAGACUGCCAGAUCCCCAAGAACUGAGUGGAUCUAUCCUGAAACAGUGAGUGACAGCAUCUGGAUACAGGUGGACCAGCUUCCGAUAACGAAGGGGGGGGGCACUGACCUGGCCUUAGAAGACAUGGGCACUGGCCUUGGCUCUUCCCACUGACUUGCUACAUAACCUUGAGCAAGCGACCUCCCUGAUCUCCUGCUUCCUUAACUGUGCAUGGGGGAUAAAAGUUCCUAUGGAAUGUGCAAGCUUGUCAAACAAAUGCCUGCAUAAACGAGUUGCAACUGUA